rnacentral:tRNA from 1 species
CAGAGAAUAGUUUAAUUAAAAUAUUAGUUUUGGGGAUUAAUGAUAAAGAAUGUUCUUUUUCUCUGA